rnacentral:rRNA from 1 species
CUACGUGCCAGCAGCCGCGGUCAUACGUAGGAUCCGAGCAUUAUCCGGAGUGACUGGGUGUAAAGAGUUGCGUAGGUGGCAAGGUAAGUAGAUAGUGAAAUCUGGUGGCUCAACCAUUCAGACUAUUAUCUAAACUAUCUAGCUCGAGACUGUUAUGGGUAACUGGAAUUUCUAGUGUAGGAGUGAAAUCCGUAGAUAUUAGAAGGAACACCGAUAGCGUAGGCAGGUUACUGGGACAGUUCUGACACUAAGGCACGAAAGCGUAGGGAGCAAACGGGAUUAGAUACCCCGGUAGUCUACGCCGUAAACGAUGGAUACUAGCAGUUUUGGGUAUCGACCCCCGGAGUUGCGAAGCUAACGCGUUAAGUAUCCCACCUGUGUAGUACGAUCGCAAGAUUAAAACAUAAAGGAAUUGACGGGGACCCGCACAAGCGGUGGAGCGUGAUCUUUAAUUCGUCGGUAAACGAUAAACCUUACCAAGGCUUGACAUCCGAUGUAGGCUCUCGAAAGAGAACUGUGC